GGGAGGUAUAUUUCUUCUAAAGCUAAAUACCGGCCAGAGACCGAUAGCGAACAAGUAGAGUGAUCGAAAGAUGAAAAGCACUUUGAAAAGAGGGUUAAACAGCACGUGAAAUUGUUAAAAGGGAAGCGCUUGUGACCAGACUUGCGUCCGGUGAAUCACCCAGCUCUCGCGGCUGGGGCACUUCGCCGGCUCACGCCAGCAUCAGCUCGCUGUCGGGGACAAAAGCUUCAGGAACGUAGCUCUCUUCGGGGAGUGUUAUAGCCUGUUGCAUAAUCCCUUCGGCGGGCUGAGGUACGCGCUCCGCAAGGAUGCUGGCAUAAUGGUC
rnacentral:rRNA from 1 species